GUGGCUUCCGGAGCUAACGCGUUAAAUCGACCGCCUGGGGAGUACGGCCGCAAGGUUAAAACUCAAAUGAAUUGACGGGGGCCCGCACAAGCGGUGGAGCAUGUGGUUUAAUUCGAUGCAACGCGAAGAACCUUACCUACUCUUGACAUCCAGAGAACUUUCCAGAGAUGGAUUGGUGCCUUCGGGAACUCUGAGACAGGUGCUGCAUGGCUGUCGUCAGCUCGUGUUGUGAAAUGUUGGGCUAAGUCCCGCAACGAGCGCAACCCUUAUCCUUUGUUGCCAGCGGUUCGGCCGGGAACUCAAAGGAGACUGCCAGUGAUAAACUGGAGGAAGGUGGGGAUGACGUCAAGUCAUCAUGGCCCUUACGAGUAGGGCUACACACGUGCUACAAUGGCAUAUACAAAGAGAAGCGACCUCGCGAGAGCAAGCGGACCUCAUAAAGUAUGUCGUAGUCCGGAUUGGAGUCUGCAACUCGACUCCAUGAAGUCGGAAUCGCUAGUAAUCGUAGAUCAGAAUGCUACGGUGAAUACGUUCCCGGGCCUUGUACACACCGCCCGUCACACCAUGGGAGUGGGUUGCAAAAGAAGUAGGUAGCUUAACCUUCGGGAGGGCGCUUACCACUUUGUGAUUCAUGACUGGGGUGAAGUCGUAACAAGGUAACCAAGGGCGAAUUCUG
rnacentral:rRNA from 1 species